rnacentral:rRNA from 1 species
GACGAACGCUGGCGGCGUGCUUAACACAUGCAAGUCGAACGGAAAGGCCUGCUUUCCCUUGUGGAUUGCGGGUACUCGAGUGGCGAACGGGUGAGUAACACGUGAGUGAUCUGCCCCCAACUUGGGUAUAAGCCUGGGAAACUGGGUCUAAUUCCCGAUAGGACUGCAGGGUGGUGCCUGUGGUGGAAAACGAUUUUCUAGUGGUUGGGGAUGAGCUCGCGGCCUAUCAGCUUGUUGGUGGGGUAAUGGCCUACCAAGGCGGCGACGGGUAGCCGGCCUGAGAGGGUGGACGGCCACAUUGGGACUGAGAUACGGCCCAGACUCCUACGGGAGGCAGCAGUGGGGAAUAUUGCACAAUGGGUGGAAGCCUGAUGCAGCGACGCCGCGUGGGGGAUGACGGCCUUCGGGUUGUAAACUCCUUUCGACCGCGAGGAAGCCACCUGGUUGGAAGGGUGGUGACGGUAGUGGUAGAAGAAGCACCGGCUAACUGCGUG